AGUGAACGCUGGCGGUAGGCCUAACACAUGCAAGUCGAACGGCAGCACGGUAAGAGCUUGCUCUUACGGGUGGCGAGUGGCGGACGGGUGAGGAAUACAUCGGAAUCUACUUUUUCGUGGGGGAUAACGUAGGGAAACUUACGCUAAUACCGCAUACGACCUACGGGUGAAAGCAGGGGAUCUUCGGACCUUGCGCGAUUGAAUGAGCCGAUGUCGGAUUAGCUAGUUGGCGGGGUAAAGGCCCACCAAGGCGACGAUCCGUAGCUGGUCUGAGAGGAUGAUCAGCCACACUGGAACUGAGACACGGUCCAGACUCCUACGGGAGGCAGCAGUGGGGAAUAUUGGACAAUGGGCGCAGGCCUGAUCCAGCCAUACCGCGUGGGUGAAGAAGGCCUUCGGGUUGUAAAGCCCUUUUGUUGGGAAAGAAAAGCAGCAGGUUAAUACCCCGCUGUUCUGACGGUACCCAAAGAAUAAGCACCGGCUAACUUCGUG
rnacentral:rRNA from 1 species